UGCUCCUCCGGCAGAGUCUGCCUCCAGCUGUGAGGCAGCAGCUUCAACACAGAAACAGACAAAAGGUCAGCACAAGCCAAACAAUGUGAAGCACAGUGGGGGAUGCAGGCAGCAACUUCACCACAGAAACAGACAAAAGGACAGCCCUCAGCUGCGGCUGCAGCUCUGGUCCUGGGCCGCACGGCGACGCUGCUGUCACCACUGGAAGACAGGUCCAGGUCAUCAACGGGCACAGGAGUGGAGGCUGAAGAUGGGACCUCUGCAAAAAUAACUAAAAGUAAUCAAAGUCAUGCAAAUACUCAGACAUGAGAGAGAUUCCACAACACGUGUCGUUGAAUCUGUCUGAUGUCUGUGUUCUGUGCACAGAACAAACUUUACUAUGCCAGUUAAACUACUGACGGACAACAACAAUCACCAUACCAUAAUGUGAUGACAUACAGACGGACAGCGAAGCGCUUACGUCUCAACCUCUUUCCCCGUGGCCUCGUACAUGGAGGCGUAGGUCAUGGCUCCGUGGGGGCCGAACUCCACCAACUUCUUGUCUUGGCUCCGGACAGACUUGGAACCCUCCGUGGCACGGCGUCCCUCCACGGCUGACAUCACCUCUGGGAACAGCUUGCUGUAGGAGCACCUUGUUGGCCAUAAGUGGUGAGCUGGAUGUGUCACCACUCUCCCGCUCCUUCUGGUGUGAGGCCAGCAGGGCCACAGCGUAGCCCACGUCGUGACUCAGGAGCCACUUGAAGGUCUGUCCCCGGUACUGCCC